rnacentral:rRNA from 1 species
AUGGGCCACGCUGUCCUCCACGCCCAGCUCACGGCACAGAGACCAGCGGAGGCCGUCACGGCGAUGGCGAACACGUACGACAAGUGUCGCCGGCCUGGCGACGCGCGCAUGGUGUUCGACAAUAUGCCCGUCCCAGACCGCGUUGCCUGGAACGCGCUCGUUGUGCAGUACGUGAGGACUGGGAUCACUGUGGCGGCCAUGGCGUUGGUGGUUCAGAUGCAGGAUGAGAACGGGCAGCGGCCUGACUCCGUCAUGCUGUUCUUGCUGCCCGUCUGCGCUGACGCCCAGGAGCUUGGGGUCUGCCACGAGGUGCACGCUUUUGCUGUCAGCACCACUGAGGCUCUGGCAUAG